rnacentral:lncRNA from 1 species
GAAGACCCCCAGGGGCUGGCCUGCGGGCGCAGCCACAGGAAGGGGAGGGUCUGUGGGCUGAGUUUGGGCGGGCGGCAUUAGUGGAGGACUUUGGGCACUGCGUGUCAGUGGUCUGAUCAGCGGGGGCCUUGUCAUUAGGAACCUGGCCAGGGGAUGGGUGUGGUGGCUCAUGCCUGUAAUCCCAGCACUUUGGGAGGCCUAAGCGGGAGGAUCGCUUGAGCUCAGGAGUUCUAGACCAGCCUGGGCAACACGGUGAAACCCCCUCUCUACUGAAAAUACAAAAAGUAGCUGGGUGUGGUGGUGUGCACCUAUAGUCCCAGCUACUCAGGAGGUGGAGGUGGGAGAAUUGCUUGAGCCCAGGAGGUCAACUCUGCAGUGAGCCAAGAUUGUGCCACAGGCUGGAGUGCAGUGGUGCGAUCUCGGCUCACUGCAAGCUCCACCUCCCGGGUUCACGCCAUUGUCCUGCCUCAGCCUCCCAGGUAGCUGGGACUACAGGCGCCCGCCACCACGCCUGGCUAAUUUUUUGUACUUUUUAGUAGAGAUGGAGUUUCUAUGUGUUAGCCAGGAUGGUCUCGAUCUCCUGACCUCGUGAUCCACCAGCCUCGGCCUCCCACAGUGCUGGGAUUACAGGCGUGAGCCACUGUGCCUGGCCCACAGCUUGCUUUUAUACAUUUUAAGGAGACAUGAGACAUCAAUCAAUAUAUGUAAGAAGUACAUUAGUUCUAUCCAGAAAGGUGGGGACAGCUCAAAGCAAGCCCCCACCCCCCGGGGGAGGUAGAUGGAGGCUGAGAGAUCAGACCUUGCAGGGCACUUGGGGACAUCAGGUGGUACAGGCCCCAGGUGCACCCUCAGUGCACUGGGCAGGUCUCAGGAUCCUGGCCUGGUAAUGUGGUCAUUCCCUCGAGGACUGCUUUUGGGGCCCAGUCACCCACCCUGGGCCAUACACGUCCUUUCUCAGGACUGGACAUUCUCAGCUCCUGCAGAGGGCACUGCCUCUAGCCCAGGAGGGGCAGCCCUGUUGGGUAGCCCAAGCCCAUGCUCUACAGGACCCUAGUGGUCCCUGCCCCACCCACACACCCCUCUUCUCCCAGGUCCUGUCCCUUCACAGGCGUCAGCCCACAGGGAGACCCUCUUCCUACCUUCCCUGUGUGUCUCCUGGGCUAAGACCAGGGGUAGGGUGGGGAGAGACACGGCUGGUCCUUCCCUAGGACUGCUAGGGAAGGAGGAGGACAGCUCCUGGCCCAGCACAGGCCCUCAGCUCUGUCUGGGUUGCCUUAUAGUGAGACAAAGCUGCCAUCGAUCAGUGCCCUGGAGGCAAAGGUAAGACCUGCUGCCUGAGAGGCUGGUCCAGGGACAGGAGGACUUGGCAGGUGGUCAGCAGCCCGUGGGCACCAGCGAUGGUGAGUGGGAGAGACAGGCUGUCCCUGGGAGGGGUGGAAGUUCCUGCUGGACCUGACCCCAAGACUCUGUCCCCAUUGGUUGUUUGACCAAACUCCAAACUGAGAACCGCAGUCACGGCUCGGGGGUUGCUGUCUGCUUGCACCAGGACCCCACCUGGAGGCUAGUACUUGACCAAAGUCCGGUGUCUGAGGCCUGAGGAUGGCAUGUCCCAGGUCAUGAGGCCAGGUCACAGACGCCUGUUCAGUCAGAGGGUCUCAGUCCCCGGGGCCUGCCCUUUCCUGGUUCUUUUUGUGGUUCAGUCCCGUCAGGGCCUCGGAGCCCAGGAUACAGCAUCCAAAGGCUGCUU